rnacentral:rRNA from 1 species
UACGUAGGGGGCUAGCGUUGUCCGGAAUCAUUGGGCGUAAAGAGCGUGUAGGCGGUCCGGUAAGUCCGCUGUGAAAGUCGGGGGCUCAACCCUCGAAUGCCGGUGGAUACUGUCGGGCUAGAGUACGGAAGAGGCGAGUGGAAUUCCUGGUGUAGCGGUGAAAAUGCGCAGAUAUCAGGAGGAACACCAAUUGCGAAGGCAGCUCGCUGGGACGUUACUGACGCUGAGGCACGAAAGCGUGGGGAGCAAACAGG